rnacentral:rRNA from 1 species
UACGUAGGGUGCAAGCGUUGUCCGGAAUUAUUGGGCGUAAAGAGCUUGUAGGCGGUUUGUCGCGUCUGCUGUGAAAUUUCGGGGCUCAACCCCGAACUUGCAGUGGGUACGGGCAGACUAGAGUGUGGUAGGGGGAGACUGGAAUUCCUGGUGUAGCGGUGAAAUGCGCAGAUAUCAGGAGGAACACCGAUGCGAAGGCAGGUCUCUGGGCCACUACUGACGUGAGACGCGAAAAGCGUGGGGGAGCAACGG